rnacentral:rRNA from 1 species
UACGUAGGGGGCAAGCGUUGUCCGGAAUUAUUGGGCGUAAAGAGCGUGUAGGCGGCCAGGUAGGUCCGUUGUGAAAACUGGAGGCUUAACCUCCAGCUGUCGAUGGAAACCAUCUGGCUAGAGUCCGGAAGAGGAGAGUGGAAUUCCUGGUGUAGCGGUGAAAUGCGCAGAUAUCAGGAAGAACACCCGUGGCGAAGGCGGCUCUCUGGGACGGUACUGACGCUGAGACGCGAAAGCGUGGGGAGCGAACAGG